rnacentral:rRNA from 1 species
CCUACGGGAGGCAGCAGUGGGGAAUUUUGGACAAUGGGCGCAAGCCUGAUCCAGCCAUGCCGCGUGCAGGAUGAAGGCCUUCGGGUUGUAAACUGCUUUUGUACGGAACGAAAAGUCUCUUUCUAAUAAAGAGGGAUCAUGACGGUACCGUAAGAAUAAGCACCGGCUAACUACGUGCCAGCAGCCGCGGUAAUACGUAGGGUGCGAGCGUUAAUCGGAAUUACUGGGCGUAAAGCGUGCGCAGGCGGUUAUAUAAGACAGUUGUGAAAUCCCCGGGCUCAACCUGGGAACUGCAUCUGUGACUGUAUAGCUAGAGUACGGUAGAGGGGGAUGGAAUUCCGCGUGUAGUAGUGAAAUGCGUAGAUAUGCGGAGGAACACCGAUGGCGAAGGCAAUCCCCUGGACCUGUACUGACGCUCAUGCACGAAAGCGUGGGGAGCAAACAGGAUUAGAUACCCUGGUAGUCCACGCCCUAAACGAUGUCAACUGGUUGUUGGGAAUUCACUUUCUCAGUAACGAAGCUAACGCGUGAAGUUGACCGCCUGGGGGAGGUACGGCCGGCGAGUUAGUUAAAGUUAAAGUAAAGUUAGUUAGGCGUUGAGACGNGCGACGGACGACGACGAGGGAGGAGG